CCUACGGGGGGCUGCAGUCGAGAAUCAUUCACAAUGGGGGAAACCCUGAUGGGGCGACGCCGCGUGGGGGAAUGAAGGUCUGCGGAUUGUAAACCCCUGUCAUGUGGGAGCAAAUUAAAAAGAUAGUACCACAAGAGGAAGAGACGGCUCACUCUGUGCCAGCAGCCGCGGUAAUACAGAGGUCUCAAGCGUUGUUCGGAAUCACUGGGCGUAAAGGGUGCGUAGGCUGUUUCGUAAGUCGUGUGUGAAAGGCGCGGGCUCACCCCGCGGACGGCACAUGAUACUGCGAGACUAGAGUAAUGGAGGGGGAACCGGACUUCUCGGUGUAGCCGUGAAAUGCGUAGAUAUCGAGCGGAACACUCGUGGCGAAGGCGGGUUCCUGGACAUUACCUGACGCUGAGGCACGAAGGCCAGGGGAGCGAAACGGAUUAGAUACCCCAGUAGUC
rnacentral:rRNA from 1 species